rnacentral:rRNA from 1 species
GACGGAGGGUGCAAGCGUUGUUCGGAAUUACUGGGCGUAAAGCGUGCGCAGGCGGUUUUGUAAGCCAGAUGUGAAAUCCCCAGGCUUAACCUGGGAAUGGCAUUUGGGACUGCAAGGCUCGAGUGCGGCAGAGGAGACUGGAAUUCCUGGUGUAGCAGUGAAAUGCGUAGAUAUCAGGAGGAACACCGAUGGCGAAGGCAGGUCUCUGGGCUGACACUGACGCUCAUGCACGAAAGCGUGGGGAGCAAACAGG